AUCUGCCAAAACAAUGAGUAGAAAGUCCUGUCUCCUUCACAUUACAAACUUCAUAGGAGUUGAGUCACACAGACAAACAUCUGUCCCUGAACUCUACCCACCACACAGGGUUAGGAAGCUUAUGGUGAAAGACUGCCAUUUAGGAAUGGGAUGGGUCGAGAAUCUCCACCUCAGAAAAGAGGAAGGAAGAAGGCCAAUGUAGAAUGAUGACAGCUUCCUGCGGAGUCACAUACAGGUUGAUACAGAUCAUCCAACAGCCGUCAUCACUUACCAUUGAACACUGUAAGAACAAGAUCAGAGAGAAGAUAAGAUGGAGAGAAGAUAAGAUGGAGAGAAGAUAAGAUGGAGAGAAGAACAAGAGAAGACAUCCCUCUGUCUGUCUCUCUCUCUGUCUCUCUGUCUCUCUGUCUCUCUGUCUCUCUCUCUCUCUCUCUCUCUCUCUCUCUGUCUCUCUCUCUCUCCCCUCUCUCUGUCUCUCUGUCUCUCUCUGUCUGUCUUUCUCGCUAUGUCUCUCUCUCUUUGUCUCUCUCUCAGUUCAAUGGGCUUUAUUGGCAUUGGACACAUAUGUUAACAUUGCCAAAGCAAGUGAAAUAGAUAAUAAAUAAAAGUUAAAUAAACAAUAAACAUUGCACUUACAGAAUUUCCAAUAGGAAUAGAGACACUACAAAUGUCAUAUUAUGUCUAUAUACAGUGUUGUAACGAUGUGCAAAUAGUUAAAGUACAAAAGGGAAAAUAAAUAAACAUAAAUAUGGGUUGUAUUUACAA